rnacentral:rRNA from 1 species
AGCGAACGCUGGCGGCAGGCCUAACACAUGCAAGUCGAACGAACCUUUCGGGGUUAGUGGCGGACGGGUGAGUAACACGUGGGAACGUGCCUUUAGGUUCGGAAUAACUCAGGGAAACUUGUGCUAAUACCGAAUGUGCCCUUCGGGGGAAAGAUUUAUCGCCUUUAGAGCGGCCCGCGUCUGAUUAGCUAGUUGGUUGAGGUAAUGGCUCACCAAGGCGACGAUCAGUAGCUGGUCUGAGAGGAUGAUCAGCCACAUUGGGACUGAGACACGGCCCAAACUCCUACGGGAGGCGGCAGUGGGGAAUCUUGCGCAAUGGGCGAAAGCCUGACGCAGCCAUGCCGCGUGAAUGAUGAAGGUCUUAGGAUUGUAAAAUUCUUUCAACGGGGACGAUAAUGACGGUACCCGGAGAAGAAGCCCCGGCUAACUUCGUG